rnacentral:sRNA from 1 species
GCUGGGUACAGUGGCGCACACCUGUAAUCCCAGUGGCUAGGGAGGCUGAGGCAGGAGGAUUGUGAGUUCAAAGCCAGCCUCAGCAAAAGCGAAGUGCUAAGCAACUCAGUGAGACUCUGUCUCUA